rnacentral:rRNA from 1 species
GUCUACCAUGCAGUCGACGGUAACAGAGAGUAGCUUGCUACUCUGCUGACGAGUGGCGCACGGGUGAGUAAUAUAUAGAUAAUGUGCCUUUUAGUCUGGGAUAGCCAUUGGAAACGAUGAUUAAUACCGGAUACUCCUUCUAACUCUAAUGUUAGUCGGGAAAGUUUUUCGCUAAAAGAUCGGUCUAUAUCCCAUCAGUUAGUUGGUAAGGUAACGGCUUACCAAGGCAAUGACGGGUAGCGGGUUUGAGAGGACGAUCCGCCACACUGGUACUGAGACACGGACCAGACUCCUACGGGAGGCAGCAGUGAGGAAUAUUGCACAAUGGGGGAAACCCUGAUGCAGCAACGCCGCGUGGAGGAUGACGCAUUUCGGUGUGUAAACUCCUUUUAUAUGUCAAGAAAAUGACGGUAGCAUAUGAAUAAGCACCGGCUAACUCCGUGCCAGCAGCCGCGGUAAUACGGAGGGUGCAAGCGUUAUUCGGAAUCACUGGGCGUAAAGGACGCGUAGGCGGGUUGGUAAGUCAGAUGUGAAAUCCUACAGCUUAACUGUAGAACUGCAUUUGAAACUACUAACCUAGAGUAUGGGAGGGGGAGAUGGAAUUAGUGGUGUAGGGGUAAAAUCCGUAGAUAUCACUAGGAAUACCGAAAGCGAAGGCGAUCUCCUGGAACAUAACUGACGCUAAGGCGUGAAAGCG